rnacentral:rRNA from 1 species
ACGAACGCUGGCGGCAUGCCUAACACAUGCAAGUCGAGCGAGACCUUCGGGUCUAGUGGCGCACGGGUGCGUAACGCGUGGGAAUCUGCCCUUCGGUUGGGAAUAACACAGAGAAAUUUGUGCUAAUACCUUAUAAUGUCUUCGGACCAAAGAUUUAUCGCCGAGGGAUGAGCCCGCGUAGGAUUAGGUAGUUGGUGGGGUAAUGGCCUACCAAGCCGACGAUCCUUAGCUGGUCUGAGAGGAUGAUCAGCCACACUGGGACUGAGACACGGCCCAGACUCCUACGGGAGGCAGCAGUGGGGAAUAUUGGACAAUGGGCGAAAGCCUGAUCCAGCAAUGCCGCGUGAGUGAUGAAGGCCUUAGGGUUGUAAAGCUCUUUUACCAGGGAUGAUAAUGACAGUACCUGGAGAAUAAGCUCCGGCUAACUCCGU